rnacentral:tRNA from 1 species
GCCGUUGUAGCUCAGUUGGUAGAGCAGCUGAUUCGUAAUCAGCAGGUCACUGGUUCGAAUCCUGUCAACGGCU